rnacentral:rRNA from 1 species
GCCUGCAUGAAGUUGGAAUCGCUAGUAAUCGCGGAUCAGCAUGCCGCGGUGAAUACGUUCCCGGGCCUUGUACACACCGCCCGUCACACCAUGAGAGUCGGGAACACCCGAAGUCCGUAGCCUGACCGCAAGGGGGGCGCGGCCGAAGGUGGGUUCGAUAAUUGGGGUGAAGUCGUAACAAGGUACC